rfam:Nelumbo nucifera unplaced genomic scaffold scaffold00021, whole genome shotgun sequence
UACCCACGGUGUGGACACAGGUUCUGUAGCUCUUUGAAUCUCUCCCAGGCUUGGUAUAAGGUUUCACUAUCCUUUUGGGAAAAAGGUUGAGAUCUGUCUCUUAAGGUU